rnacentral:rRNA from 1 species
UGAGCAACCUACCGAAAUGUGGGGGAUAGCCGGCCUAACGGCCGAGUAAUACCGCAUACGCUCUCGAUGAGGCAUUUCAUUGAGAGGAAACCUACGGGACAUUUCGAGGGGCUCGCAGCCUAUCAGCUAGUUGGAGAGGUAACGGCUCACCAAGGCAACGACGGGUAGCUGGUCUGA